AGUCAUAUGCUUGUCUCAAAGAUUAAGCCAUGCAUGUCUAAGUAUAAGCUUUUAUACGGUGAAACUGCGAAUGGCUCAUUAAAACAGUUAUAGUUUAUUUGAUGGUCUCUUUUACAUGGAUAACCAUGGUAAUUCUAUGGCUAAUACAUGCGCACAGGCCUCCUUCUUUGGAGGGGCCGUGUUUAUUAGAUACAAAACCAACCCACUUUGUGGAGCCUUGGUGAUUCAUAGUAACCGAACGGAUCGCAGUUGGCUUUUGCCCGCGAUGGAUCAUUCAAGUUUCUGACCUAUCAGCUUUCGACGGUAGGGUAUUGGCCUACCGUGGCAGUGACGGGUAACGGGGAAUUAGGGUUCGAUUCCGGAGAGGGAGCCUGAGAAACGGCUACCACAUCUAAGGAAGGCAGCAGGCGCGCAAAUUACCCAAUGAAAACAGUUUCGAGGUAGUGACGAGAAAUAACGGUACAGGGCAUUUAAUGCUUUGUAAUUGGAAUGAUGGGAAUGUAAAACCCUUCCAGAGAACCAAUUGGAGGGCAAGUCUGGUGCCAGCAGCCGCGGUAAUUCCAGCUCCAAUAGUGUAUAUUAGAGUUGUUGCAGUUAAAAAGCUCGUAGUUGGAUUUCUGUCGUGGUCAUCCGGCCGCGCCCGUAGGGUGUGCGCCUGUGUUGCCCGCGGCUUUUUUCCGGUAGCCU
rnacentral:rRNA from 1 species